GACGAACGCUGGCGGCGUGCUUAACACAUGCAAGUCGAACGCUGAAGCUCAGCUUUUGUUGGGUGGAUGAGUGGCGAACGGGUGAGUAACACGUGAGUAACCUGCCCCCGUCUUUGGGAUAACGCCCGGAAACGGGUGCUAAUACUGGAUAUUCACUGGUCUUCGCAUGGGGGUUGGGGGAAAGGGUUGUUGUGGUGGGGGAUGGGCUCGCGGCCUAUGAGCGUGUUGGUGGGGUGAUGGCCUACCAAGGCUUUGACGGGUAGCCGGACGGAGAGGGUGGACGGACACAUGGGGACUGAGAUACGGACCAGACUCCUAAGGGGGGCAGCGGUGGGGAAUAUUGCGCAAUGGGCCGAAGCCUGAGGCAGCAACGCCGCGGGCGGGAGGAUGGCCGUCGGGUGGUAAACAGAUGUCGCCGGUGACGAAGCGUGAGUGACGGUAAUGGAUAAAGAAGCACCGGCUAACUACGUG
rnacentral:rRNA from 1 species